AAGUCGUAACAAGGUUUCCGUAGGUGAACCUGCGGAAGGAUCAUUAACACGAAUCUUUUAUCCAAUAUCAAAAACAUCACGGUCACUUUUCCCCUCCCUAAAAAACUCAAAACUUUUUUCUUUCAUCGAAUGAAUGAAGAAUGUUUUGCAUUUUUUAGGCUAACCGCUAUUAAUUAUUUGAUUAAUUUCAAAUGUUUUUAGCCACUAAAUAUUUUUUAACCACUUUUAACUUUUAACUCUUUUUGUCUCUACUUAAUUGUUUUUUGACAAAAACUCAACUAAUUUACACAGAAUGAAAUCUUAACCGAUUUCUAUUCUUGUUGUAUUUUCAUUUACGAAAUUACAAUAUUCUUAUUAAGAACAACUCUUAACAAUGGAUAUCUUGGUUCUC
rnacentral:misc_RNA from 1 species